ensembl:lncRNA
GGCCGAGGCAGUUUGGGUGAGAAGUUGGAGGAGGGUGCUGUCCUCUCAGCUGGUCCAGGGGAUGAGACCUGGACGUUCCUUGGGGUCUGUUCGUCCAGGUUUCCUGGUGACCUGGCCCAAAUGGGUGGGAGACCUGGCCCUGCGGGUGGACGGGGGCUUCUGGCCGAGGAGACCUCUGAGGAGCGCCGCAUCCUUUUGCCUGGACAUCUUUGCCCCCAGGUGGAGAUCUCUCUACCUCGGGAUGCAGUGAGCCGCCAACCUGCAGUUUUUAGAGGCUUGCUGCCUUUGAUUUGGUGGGAGGGGCAGAAGGAGGAAUAACGGGGGAGAAAAAUGCCUCAACUGCUCUUCCUGAAGGAGCGAGACCCCCCGCCAACAGAUCACCCAGAAGCUUAGUCUCAGCCUCUCCCACAAGAGGGACCCGGGUGUCUGCUGGGAGUCCGGGAGGGCCGGAGGGUGCCAGGUGAAAGCCCACGUCUGGCGGUCCCCCUCCCUCCUGGCACCAAUGGUGGUCGCCAUCAGGCCGAUGCCCUGGGCUUCUGACUUCACAUCCCAGCUGAGAGUGGGAGGGCCGAACUGCCCUGGUGCCCAGGGCUGUGAGUGACCCAUGGCCUAGGCCGGGGAUGGGGUUGUGUGGAGAAGCUCCAGGGGCCCGCUGGGUGUGAGCGGGGAUGGGGGCAUCUGGAGAGGAGAGCAGGAGGCUGCCCCAGGCCUUCUGUGGCCACAGCCACCUCAGCCCUUCUGUAUAUGGUUCAUUCAGCUCCCCGCCUUCUGCCCCCUACCCUACAGGCCCCAGGCCUUGUCUCUCUGGUGGAGGAGGUCAGCAGGCAGACCCCCAGGACCUCUGUGGGGCCAGGCUCCCGUGAGGGAGGCAGAGCAGAUGAAUUAUCUCGGGAACCCGAGGCUCCGAGAGCAGGUCUUGCUGUGGUUCCCUCGCCCCCAUCAGGCACUUCUCCUGAGGGAGCCCACUCAGAGCCCCCUUCUUUCUGGCGCAGUUGUGAUACCCUGGUGCUGCGAUUGCCUAGACCAGAGCAGAAUAACAGGUCAUUAGAAGGUGCAGGGAUGGACAGAGGGAGGGUCCAGGAAGAGGGAAACAGUUGCUAAAACUUAAACAUUUGCUAAGAGGGUAGAUCUUAUGUUAAGUGUUCUUAUCACAAAACAAACAAAACACACGGUUGCUAAGUUGGCCUUGUUGAUGACAACAUUUGCAGACUGCUUUUAAGGGUGGACACAGAGCCACUCUUUAACCACAGGACACCCAGGGGCCCUGCGAGGCGGCUGCUUGUCAGAGGACCCGCGGAUGGCCUCCUGGCUCAGCGGCUGCUGUCGUGACUUGGUACAAGGGGAGGCUGCACUUGUAUAACACUUUGUUAAAGUGAACCAGGUCUAAAGAAAGAGCCAUGCCCAGGGGCCGGCCUGGUGGCAGAGCUGGUAAGUUCGCACGUUCCACUUCAGUGCAACGGUUUGGAUACCGGGUGCGCUUGGCACCGCUUGGCAAGCCAUGCUGUGGCAGGCGUCCCACGUAUAAAGUAGAGGAAGAUGAGCACGGAUGUUAGCUCAGGGCCAGUCUUCCUCAGCAAAAAGAGGAGGAUUGGCAGCAGAUGUUAGCUCAGGGCUGAUCUUCCUUAAAAGGAAAAAAAAAAAGAGUCUUGCCCAGAGAUGCCCAUUGACUAGUGAACAGCUGGCCACCAUCUUAGUGUGCAGCUGUGGGGGGCCUGUGAAAUGAAUUAUAGCGUGGUUCUAUGACAGAAUAUAACGCAGCCACCAGAAAUGAUGCUGAUGAGGAAUUUCAGUGACAUAGGAAUUGUUUUUGGUAUAAUCUUAAGUAAAAACCAGGAUAUAAAACAAUAUAUGCAUAUACAUAACUUCAGUACAAAACAAAAAGAAACAUAUAGCUCAAGUUCUUUUAAAGAUGUGUAGAAAAAAAUGGAAAGAAAACACAAAAAUCCUUAUCUUAGUUAUUUCUGGGUGGUGGGAUUUUGAGUGAUUUUUAAAGAUUUUUUAGUGCUUUGUGUUUUAUUGUAUUUCCAAAUUUCUGCAAUAAACACUUUCAAAUUUUAAAGUUACUGAAAUGGGGAUGUGGAGUGUCUCCUGUAUUUUAAGAAAGAGUCCCAUUUCUCUGGAAAAGCUUCUCGCGUGCACGUGGAAGAUCUUGGAGUGUAUUUUUAUGUUUUUCAGCCAGAGGUUCCCCGUGGGGGCCCAGUGCAGGGCCUGCUGGAGGAGGCUUCAUGAGGAAGUGACCCGCCCGAGGUCACAUUGUUCCUUGGUUUGCUGAAUGACUAAAGAAUGAAUAAAGAUGGAUGGAGACAGGAUUAGAACCAGGCUCUCAGCUCUUUUCCCCACUCCAGUGACAAACUGCCAAGUCUAAACAUCUAACAUGGCACAUGUGGCCCUGGUAACCUGGCCCAGCUGACCUACUUAGCCUCAUCUCUCCCCACUGAACUGCUGUGGCUCACACACACCACAUUGGUUUUACUCUGUGCCUUUGCUUAUGCUGUUCCCUCUGCCUGGAAUGCCUUUCCCUGCUGCCCCCACCCUCUUUGGUCUAACUUCUACUCACCCUUUUAGAAUCAGCCCCAGUUUCCUGGAAGCCUCCCCCAGCCCCUGGCUGGGCUAGGGGUUCCUUUUCUGCACCCAUAGUACACCGUGCCUACUGCAUUUACUGCACUUAGUUCUGCUUUUCUGUGCACAUGCUGGACCCAGGUCCCCAGCCGGGAGCCCCUUGAGGGAGGACUGCGUCUGACUCACCUCACCCUCAACGCUGGCCCCAGGCUGGGCACGUUUGAGAAGGAGGUCACAGGACCUGGCACUGCCCCUGCUCCCACUCCAGAGGAGAGCCUUGACCGUGUCGUGCCCAUUUCCCUGUCCCAAAUGUGGGAGAGCUGGGCUUCACCAGAUCACUUCUGAGGACCCUGUGGCUGACAAGAUGGCCAGGGCUGGCAUAGGACAGCCUGUGUUGGGUGCCCAAGAUCAGAGGGGGCAAGGGACAUGGUCAGCACCCUCGGCCACCUGCAGCGCCUGGUGGCAGGGAUUGGGGUGGGUGUGGAGCAGAGGAGGUGGAGGCUAUGUUCUGGGCCUCAGCAGACCAGACCCCGCCACAGAGGCUGGCCAGGCGCCGCACAGCAGGGAGGGCGGCCCCCAGCGGUUAUCAAAGGCCAGCAGGGACCCUCCCUCAGAUGGUGACUGCAGGGAGGGAGAAGGGGUCUCCCUGGGGCUGCUGGCUCUGCCACAGCCACUGACAAGCUGGGCCAUCCAUCAGCCCUGAGCACAAUGGGGUCAUUAACCCCUGACCCCAGCCCCUUUCUAGCCAUUUCCUCUGGAGGGCUCCCCUCCCCAAGGCGAAGGGAGGGGGCGAUUCCUGUAUAACCUCCCUCUUCAAUGAGGGGCCCAGGAGCGACGGCCCCCUCGGCUGGCGGGGGACUCACAGCUCUACGGCCCUUCCGAAGUCUGAGGUCCCGCUCCUGCAGCUGCCAUCCUCUGCUGGUGCCUCUCACCCUCGGCCACCCACGGGAGCACCCCUCAAGCCACAGCAGUGUAUUUGGGGAGGGACAGAGAGGGGCCCUGAGAGACAGGGACAGGGACAGAGGCAUUCCGAGAGAGACGCUUAGACGCUUUAGAUCAGAGGUGGCUCUUCAGUUUACACAGGACAUUCAAAGGGACAUUAGAGACCAGUACUGCUUGUGAAAUUCCAUGCAAGAGCCCGAAAUAAAAUAUUAGCAAAACAAAUCCAGCAAUGAAUAAAAAGGACAUAUACAUGAUGACCAAAGUGGGUUUACCCUAGAAACGCAAGGGGGGGUUAGCGCUGGAAAGCCUAUGAGUGCCAUCCAUCGCGUUAAUAAAUUAAGGGAGCAAAGCCGUAUGAUUGUCUCAGCACUAGCACUAAAUGUCAACAUCUACUUAUGAUAAAAAUGUUUUCGCAAACUUGGGAUAGAAGGUAUGUCUGUAGACUCAUGAAGAUUAUCUACAAACACCAGCACACACGCAGGUCUUAAAGGAGCAGUGGACACAUUCUCUAGAAUCAGGGGUGUUUGCCCUCAUCCAUGCGUCUAUUCAGCAUCGUACCCAAGGCUCCAGCUGGGGCAGUAAGACAACGAAACAGCAGCAAGGGAGAAGGAUUGGAAAGGAAGAAGGAAAACUGGCAUUAUUUGAAGAUGAUAUGAUCGUCUACACAGAAAACCCCAAAUAAUCUACGAAUUACCAGAACUAUGAAAAAAAUCCAGCAGAGAUGAUACAGGAUACUCCCAUAUCAAAUCAAUAUCAAAAACUAAUUGCAGCCGCAACAUAUGGAUAAACUUGGAAAAUAUUAUGCUAAGUGAAAGAAGCCAGACACAGAAGGCCACAUGUUAUAGGAUUCCAUUUAUAGGAAAUCUCUAGAAUAGGCAGCUCCAUAGAGACAGAAAGUAGAUUAACGGUUGCCAGGGGCUGAGGAAGGAAAAAAUGAGGAGUGACUGCUCAUGGGUAAAGGUUUCUUUUUGGGGUGAUGAGAAUGUUCUGGAAUUAGAUAGUGGUGAUGGUUGUGCAAGCUUGUGAAUGCACUAAAACCCACUGAAUUGUACACUUUAAAGGGGUGAAUUUUAUAUGGGUAAAUUAUGUCUCAAUAAAAAGUAACUGCAUUUAUAAAUAUCAGAGCAAACAGUGUAAUUUUGUUAAAUCCUUCAUUUACAAUAAUAACAAAAAUUAAAUCUAACAAAAUAUUUGCAGAGGAAAGGAUAAAACGUUACUGUAGUAUAACCAUCCUGGAAAAUGGUUGGGCAAUUUCUUAAAAAAUUAAAUGUACAUUUACCAGGUGACCCAGCAACCACGCUUUUGGGCGUUUGUUACAGAGAAAC